GUUUUUAAUUUAUUUGAAUUCUCUUUUGUUUUUUGUACAAUGUUUGAAUUCCCUUUAAAUUACUAGAUGAAACCUAGGAGAUAGAGGACAAAAGGGCAGAAUGUCAGAUCACUGGUACAAAAGGUUAGGAUGGAGGAACCUUUUUGGCAUCUCAGCAAAAAUAUGACCUUUUAGGAAAAAGGGUCCAGAUAGGGGAAUAAGGGAGCAACACCGUUGAGUUGCUUGGAGAAGGAGGUUUUAUGUUGGGAAGUGGGGGAGUGGGACAUUUCAGAGGACAUGUGGGGCAAAAGUAGUAGUGUGAGAAGAGGGAGAGAUCAAGAACAGCAGUCUCGUUAAGGAUAUUAAAUUAAGUAAUCCUUUAUUAUAAACGCCAGUCUUGCCAUGCUGCCAUCUUUGCCCUAAUCUCUCCCUAAUUUCCCUCCUAAUCCCAUAUUAAUUGCUAAGCUAAACUACCAACCACCCAAGUAAAUCUCAACCGUUGUUAAGAGGACGUUUCAUUUUCCCUCCCAAGCUUGCAUUAAUUUCAGUCAUUCCUCCCAACUACCCACUGAUCCAUUAAACAUUUAAUGUGGCCUUCCAUAUCUCUCCAUGCAGCAAGUGAAUUUGUAUUCCACGAGAAUUCUCUCCAACUCCCCAAUUCAUUGUGUACACAUGUCACCAUGAUUCAAAUUCAUUUUUGUCUAUGAACCCGGUAUAAAUAGUGGCGCACAUACAUUUGUGCUCCUUUGAAUCUAAUUCCAGUCACUGAUUUUGACAAAAUUGUGAAUGAAUUACGACUUCAAUACAAAAGGAUUUGCAUUGAGUUUCAUGUUAGGGAUGUAAGAAUGCUUCAGUGUCGUUUUUUUUUCCUGUGCUGGACUUGAAUCAAUGUGGUAACAAUUUGUUAUUCUCUUUUUAUGCAGGGCGCUAGAACGCCUACUCAAGGAGCAGCAAUGAUGAUCUUUAAUUUCCUGUUUUCUCUAUCACUCAGUUUCUUAAGGUUGUACCAGCUACGCUCCUCAUGUUUACCUCGCCAUCGUCUUGAAUAUUUUGUCGUUGAGAUUCAAGCGUGUAUUGUCUUUAAUAUUCAUCCAUAUUCCCUCCUCUACGAUUUAUCCCAUCAAACUAUAAAUAGAGUGAUUACUCAUGACUCUGACAUUGAGAAGGGCAUAUAUAACUCCAUUUUGCAUAUUAGUUUUAGCCUUUUUAUUUUUGAAAUAAUAUUAGCUUUAGUCCUUGAUAUCUAAGUUCUUUGUAUAUUCCACAAUAUUUUAUCCCCAAUAUAAUGGAAUUAGGGAGCCAAAAAACUAUAUGUAAUAGCACAAAUCCUCAUUUGAAAUAUAUGAAUCUUUAUCUUUUUUUUUUUUUUUUGCAAAAAAAAGCUUAAGUGUGUUCGAUUGGAUGAAUAUGAACCUUUUGUUGUUUUUUUUUUUUUAUGCAUAAACUUUUGAUCAUAAAGAUAAAAUAGGGUGUUGAAUAAGUGUUAGGGAAUAUGA